GUUGGAUGGAAAAUGCUGCUGUGGAGCUUUGUGAGGGACAUUCUGUCUAGUGCGCUGGGAAGCGUGGAAUGGUUAAACUAAACGAAUGCAAUAUCACACUUUCUUUUCACCACAAUAAUAUGCUAAAUAGCAUCGAUUCGGUUGACUUCGCGAAUGACGUUAUCGCUAGCGUGUUGAUUCAGAUUGUGCAACUUUCUUCGACUGAGCGGCUUCAAGUGGAGUGACUUUCAACAUAUUUGGCUGGUUCGUUUCUUUUACCUUCCAUUUCGGAAGAAUGGAAGUGAGAAAGAGUUCCAAGGAUUUUCAGGUGCGUUGUACUAGGAUGCGUAGUACGGUUCUUCGAAACGCGUAAAAGUCAAGAAAAAAGUUUACAAUAAACCACCUUCGGGACGAAAAUGUGCCGGUGAGCACUGUUAACCGGAUCCUGCCAUUCCGGAACGUUGGGCGGAAGACCGGUAGUGGCCGUUCGGCGAAGAAGAAAAAGGAAUCUCUGAAAAAUAAAAAUCAAAUUCCCACUUUCCCGGCAAUGACCGACAAGGCCACCACACCCCCCGGGGUGAAGUACAAAUACAAGAAUGGUUUGGAAAGAAAGUUAUGCUGUAUAUUGCAAUCUCCCCUUUUCCCUGUUUUGUUUGAAUCUUAAUUUUGUAUUAUGUCAGAAUAAAGCAGAAGAAAAUAUGAAAUAGGACGUACCGCGUUGUUUUUCAUACCAUAAGAUGGAGAGUGUUUGUGUAUGAUUGAAUUACACGUGAGCAUUGUUUAUUAUAUACGUUGUCAAGGGUAGAUAAUGGUGAUGGUGGAACAAAUAUAG